rnacentral:rRNA from 1 species
AACGAACGCUGGCGGCAUGCCUAACACAUGCAAGUCGAACGAGACCUUCGGGUCUGGUGGCGCACGGGUGCGUAACGCGGGGGAACCUGCCCUUAGGUUCGGAAUAACUCCCCGAAAGGGGUGCUAAUACCGGAUAAUGUCUUCGGACCAAAGAUUUAUCGCGUUUGGAUGGGCCCGCGUUGGAUUAGCUAGUUGGGAGGGUAAAAGCCUACCAAGGCGACGAUCCAUAGCUGGUCUGUGAGGAAGAUCAGCCACACUGGGACUGGGACACGGCCCAGACUCCUACGGGAGGCAGCAGUGGGGAAUAUUGGCCAACGGGCGAAAGCAUGAUCCAGCACUGACGGGUGAGUGCUGAAGGCCUUGGGGUUGUAAAGCUCUUUUACCCGGGAUGAUAAUGACAGUACCGGGAGAAUAAGCUCCGGCUAACUCCGUG